rnacentral:rRNA from 1 species
UGGGGAAUUUUGGACAAUGGGGGCAACCCUGAUCCAGCAAUGCCGCGUGUGUGAAGAAGGCCUUCGGGUUGUAAAGCACUUUUGUCCGGGAAGAAAUCCCCUGCCCUAAUACGGCGGGGGGAUGACGGUACCGGAAGAAUAAGCACCGGCUAACUACGUGCCAGCAGCCGCGGUAAUACGUAGGGUGCGAGCGUUAAUCGGAAUUACUGGGCGUAAAGCGUGCGCAGGCGGUGAUGUAAGACCGAUGUGAAAUCCCCGGGCUCAACCUGGGAACUGCAUUGGUGACUGCAUUGCUCGAGUAUGGCAGAGGGGGGUGGAAUUCCACGUGUAGCAGUGAAAUGCGUAGAGAUGUGGAGGAACACCGAUGGCGAAGGCAGCCCCCUGGGCCAAUACUGACGCUCAUGCACGAAAGCGUGGGGAGCAAACAGGAUUAGAUACCCUGGUAGUCCACGCCCUAAACGAUGUCAACUGGUUGUCGGGCCUUCAUUGGCUUGGUAACGUAGCUAACGUGUGAAGUUGACCGCCCGGGGAGUACGGUCGCAAGAUUAAAACUCAAAGGAAUUGACGGGGUCAUAGCUG